UACGUAGGGGGCAAGCGUUGUCCGGAUUUAUUGGGCGUAAAGAGCGUGUAGGCGGCCAGGUAAGUCAGCUGUGAAAACUCGAGGCUCAACCUCGAGACGUCGGUUGAUACCACCUGGCUAGAGUCCGGAAGAGGAGAGUGGAAUUCCUGGUGUAGCGGUGAAAUGCGCAGAUAUCAGGAAGAACACCCGUGGCGAAGGCGGCUCUCUGGGACGGUACUGACGCUGAGGUGCGAAAGCGUGGGGAGCAAACAGG
rnacentral:rRNA from 1 species